rnacentral:rRNA from 1 species
GAGGGGGCAAGCGUUAUUCGGAAUUAUUGGGCGUAAAGGGCGCGUAGGCGGCUUUGCAAGUGACGGGUGAAAUCCCUCGGCUUAACCGAGGAACUGCCUGUCAAACUGCAUGGCUUGAGACCGGGAGAGGUGAGUGGAAUUCCCAGUGUAGCGGUGAAAUGCGUAGAUAUUGGGAGGAACACCAGUGGCGAAGGCGGCUCACUGGACCGGUACUGACGCUGAUGCGCGAAAGCGUGGGUAGCAAACAGGAUUAGAUACCCUGGUAGUCCACGCCGUAAACGAUGAGUGCUUGGUGUAGCGGGUAUCGACCCCUGCUGUGCCGAAGUCAACACAUUAAGCACUCCGCCUGGGGAGUACGGUCGCAAGGCUG